GAUGAACGCUGGCGGCGUGCCUAAUACAUGCAAGUCGAGCGAACGGACGAGAAACUUGCUUCUCUGAUGUUAGCGGCGGACGGGUGAGUAACACGUGGAUAACCUACCUAUAAGACUGGGAUAACUUCGGGAAACCGUAGCUAAUACCGGAUAAUAUUUUGAACCGCACGGUUCAAAAGUGAAAGACGGUCUUGCUGUCACUUAUAGAUGGAUCCGCGCUGCAUUAGCUAGUUGGUAAGGUAACGGCUUACCAAGGCAACGAUGCAUAGCCGACCUGAGAGGGUGAUCGGCCACACUGGAACUGAGACACGGUCCAGACUCCUACGGGAGGCAGCAGUAGGGAAUCUUCCGCAAUGGGCGAAAGCCUGACGGAGCAACGCCGCGUGAGUGAUGAAGGUCUUCGGAUCGUAAAACUCUGUUAUUAGGGAAGAACAUAUGUGUAAGUAACUGUGCACAUCUUGACGGUACCUAAUCAGAAAGCCACGGCUAACUACGUG
rnacentral:rRNA from 1 species